GCCCGGGUGGUGAAAUCGGUAGACACAAGGGAUUUAAAAUCCCUCGACUUAUGGUCGUGCCGGUUCGAUUCCGGCCUCGGGCACCA
rnacentral:tRNA from 1 species